CAACUAUUUCUGUCUUACAAUCUCUCUCCACCAGGUGUAGCACUUCUCUCAUCGUUUAAAAACAAGAAAUGGACAGUGACGGUGGUAAAGGGGGGAUACCUAGUCAUUUUUUCCGUCUUCAUUGCGUGCCAUCAUCAUUCUCAAAGCCGCAGUUUACUUCUAAGAUCACUUUAGCACCGCCCUAAAAACCCGAUUCAAACUCGACACAAACUUUCAAAUAGGUAUGUAAUGACACAUUAUAUAAACUCUUUAUAGUGUUUUAUUUAAAAUUUUUAGAGGCGAUAAGUUCCCACACGACAUCUGUCCUUCUCACUAUCACGCAUUAGUUUCGCUUCCCCACCCGCCAUAAAAAAAAAAAAGAAGACCCGAAGGGGCUCAUUGAUUGAAUUAUGCAGAAACGGGCAGUGUUUAGGUCCUGUAAUUGAUUUUGUUGGAAAGGAGAGAAAUCGUGCAUUGCAAUGGAUUGCCUGCUGCAGUUGUUCGAGAGAUGUCUUGUUUGUAGCUGAACAUUCAACAUAGAGAAGACCAGCAAGGGGACCCUCAGCAUCACACAGACAUGCCCUCGCUGUGAGCAUUCCUAUAAAUGGAACAGGGAGGACACUUGAAUCAGCCUGCACCUGGAGACUUGCAAGAUGAUGUGAUGGAAUCCUGACCGACAGACAGGCUUGAUACUGACUUCGCUGAAUGGAGAGACACCUGGCACUCAACACAUCCACAAUGUGGUUCUGAAGAUGAAGAGUACUAAAGAUGCUUUUGCCAGACGCCAGCCUCGGUCGUUUGAUAGAGGGACCAUAAUUGGAAACAUGUAUAGAGACAGCACAUGGAAACUUGCAAGAUGUGAUGAAGUCCAGACUGACAGACGGGCUUAAUACUGAUGCCUCCAAAUGGAGAGAGACCUGACACGGCAUUAAAGUUUUACUACACACAACUUGUACUUCUAUUGUUUUUAAAAAUGAUUUAAUAGAAUGGUAUCAGUCAAUAUGGGGAGGGAGAAACCUUGUGUAUUCUGCACCAGGAUCAGGGAACUCCGGUUGUAUACUGAACACCACACAGGAAGAUAUGACAACUCUGACAUGUUUGCCAAGGUAACCCAUUCACCACCAGACAAAAUGCCAAUAGGCACAGUAUCUGUAUCGGCUGGGAAUGACAAUGGAAGCUGAAAGCUGCACAUUGUUAUAUUAGCAGAACUAUGGUAUUAGGGAAUGGGUUGUUUAUUCUACAUGGAUCUGUUACUACAUUUGAAAGUUAUCAAAACUCUUAGCUUAGAAUAUCUACAUAAUUCAGCAAUUGCAUUCUCAUAUUACUCCGUAGGCUACUGACCUAUUCAAAGCUUCCUCUGGCAUCUCACCAUACAUCUGCCUGGAGUUAUUGAACUCAACCUGCAAGAGGGUUGUUUGAUGGAUGCUACCAUGACUACAGAUAAUCCUGAAUAAAUUGUGAAUAACGAUGAGUGAGAAAGUAACAGACGCACAAGUAUCAUACUUCCAAGACAUGCUGACAUCUCACCAUUACAAUAACAGCGGAGGUUAGCAUUUUUGGGGGGUAUGACAUUUGUGCGUCUGUAACGUUCCCAGCUGGCAAUGAGGAAUCGGCCCAGGAGCGGUCCUCUUCCGGGGAACCGGAACUGAUUGGAUUGGCUCGGAACAGCGUGAUGGGACAAGGACAUCCCAAACCCCCAUAACUCGGACGACGCUGGGCCAAUUGUGCAUCGCCUCAUGGGUCUCCCGGUCGCGGCCGGCAUGGGUAUCGAACUAGCAUCUGUAGCAACGCAAUUUGCAAUGCAGUGCUGUGUCUUAGACCGCUGCGCCACUCAUAUUAAAAUUCUACUUAAACAGGACUCUUAACACAAAAUGUUAAUUGUAUUUUUUGAUCACAGAAACAAUAGUUAAAUAAAAAACAGAAAAUAUGGAAUAAAUAAAUGUUAAAUAAAGCAGCCGUGUAAUGAUCUGCAUUUGGAUAACUCACACCGGAAUCAGUCCGAGCUCAAUCCCCGCAUAAGUAAUACCAGCCAUAAGUAAUACUGCCUAAGGUGGCCCAGAUCCACUGUGCUAGCUGGGUUCUCACUCAUCAUUAUUCAUAGUACAUUCAGGAUUUUCCAUAAUCAUGGUAACAUCCACAUUAAUGUGUAAGUGUUUAGAAGCAUAUUCUGUUCUUAUUUACAAUAAAAGUGACCCCAAAAUGACUACAUUAUUUAGUGUUCAUUUCUGUUGGGCACAAGAUAAUCUGAAACACAACCAAAACAAACAGUAAAUGCAUCCAACAAAUUUGCAGAGGCACAAGCUUGAUGUAGUCAUUGCAUGCUAUGAAUAUGGGACCAAAUACUGAACUUUUUACUACUUUAAUGCACAUAAGUGAAUUUGUCCAAAUACUUUUGGACCCCUAAAAUGGGGGGGGGGGGACUAUGUACAAAAAGGGUUGUAAUUUCUAAACGGUUCACCCGAUAUGGAUGAAAAUACCCUCAAAUUAAAUCUGACAGUCUGGACUUUAACCUCAUAGUCAUUGUUUGAUUUUAAAUUUAGAGCCAAAAUGAAGAAAAAAUGCUUCACUGUCCAAUUAAUUACAGAGGGCACUGUAUAUUGAGGCAAAAAAAUGGACAGUAGCCAAAUAGUUAAAUGAAACUCAAUUGAAUGAACAUGAAAUAUCAUUGAAAGACAGUAUAUAGGCCUAUGUAGCCUACACUGUAGGUAGGCUUUUUUAUCCUUAGCUUGUUUGUAACAAUGGCAAAGACUUUGGCAUCUUUGUAUUUGUAGUCCACUUCAUUGUGAAGUUGAAUUUGG
ensembl:lncRNA